rnacentral:rRNA from 1 species
CGUUGUUCGGAUUUACUGGGCGUAAAGCGUGCGUAGGUGGUUUCGUGUGUCGGAUGUGAAAGCCCAUGGCUCAACUGUGGAAUUGCAUUCGAAACUGCGGGACUGGAGUGCAGGAGGGGAGAGCGGAAUUCUUGGUGUAGCGGUGAAAUGCGUUGAUAUCAAGAAGAACACCGGUGGCGAAGGCGGCUCUCUGGAAUGCUACUGACACUGAGGCACGAAAGCUGGGGGAGCGAACAGGAUUAGAUACCCAGGUAGUCCCAGCCGUAAACGGUGCGCACUUGGUGUGGGGGGUAUUGACCCCCCCCGUGCCGGAGCUAACGCGUUAAGUGCGCCGCCUGGGGAGUACGGCCGCAAGGCUAAAACUCAAAGAAAUUGACGGGGGCCCGCACAAGCGGAGGAGCAUGUGGCUUAAUUCGAUGCAACGCGAAGAACCUUACCAGGGCUUGACAUGCAGCUGCACGGCCGGUGAAAGCCGGUUUCCUUCGAGGGUGCUGCACAGGUGCUGCAUGGCUGUCGUCAGUUCGUGCCGUGAGGUGUUGGGUUAAGUCCCGCAACGAACGCAACCCUUGUGUUUAGUUGCCACCGGCGGUGAUGAGCCGUCGAGCACUCUAGACAGACUGCCCGUACAAGCGGGAGGAAGGUGGGGACGACGUCAAGUCAGUAUGGCCCUUACGCCCUGGGCUGCACACGUGCUACAAUGGCCGGUACAGAGGGAAGCAAUGCCGCGAGGUGGAGCCAAUCCCCAAAACCGGCCCCAGUUCGGAUUGGAGUCUGCAACUCGACUCCAUGAAGUUGGAUUCGCUAGUAACGGCGCAUCAGUUACGGCGCCGUGAAUACGUUCCCGGGCCUUGUACACACCGCCCGUCACAUCAUGAAAGCCGUCUGCACCCGAAG